UACGUAGGGGGCUAGCGUUGUCCGGAAUCAUUGGGCGUAAAGAGCGUGUAGGCGGUCCGGUAAGUCCGCUGUGAAAGUCGGGGGCUCAACCCUCGAAUGCCGGUGGAUACUGUCGGGCUAGAGUGCGGAAGAGGCGAGUGGAAUUCCUGGUGUAGCGGUGAAAUGCGCAGAUAUCAGGAGGAACACCAAUUGCGAAGGCAGCUCGCUGGGACGUAACUGACGCUGAGAACGCGAAAAGCCGUGGGGGAGCAA
rnacentral:rRNA from 1 species